rnacentral:rRNA from 1 species
UACGGAGGGAGCUAGCGUUGUUCGGAAUUACUGGGCGUAAAGCGCACGUAGGCGGCUUUGUAAGUUAGAGGUGAAAGCCCGGGGCUCAACCCCGGAACAGCCUUUAAGACUGCAUCGCUAGAAUCCGGGAGAGGUGAGUGGAAUUCCGAGUGUAGAGGUGAAAUUCGUAGAUAUUCGGAAGAACACCAGUGGCGAAGGCGGCUCACUGGACAGGCAUUGACGCUGAGGUGCGAAAGCGUGGGGAGCAAACAGG